AACUUGAUGAGUUUGGAGAUAAGUAUACACUGUGAAACCACCACCACAAUAUCUGCCAUAAACCUGUUCGUCACCUCCAAAAAGCUUCUCCCACCCUCUUUAUUUAUUAUGAGAAGCAAAAUGAUUAUUUUAUUGGGAUGCAUUUGUAAAUUUUUGCCUCAGAAAAUAUUAUCUGAUAGAAAGUUAAUUUUUCCAUGCCUCAACAUCAUUCACAAAAUGCAUUUAAAGCAUUUAACAUACUGACAUUUUUCACUUUUAUUAGAAAAGGGAACAGUAACUCUUUGUUAUCCUUCUUAUUAGGGUAACACAUUAAGAAAGAUACUUCUGAAUCGAUACUUUAAAGGUGAUUAUAGUAUUGGUGUGAAUGGACACCUAUCAGGAGCCUACUCCAAAACUGCACAGGUGGGAGGAAGCUUUUCUGGACAAGAUUCAGAUAAGAUGGGGAUAUCAAUGUCAGACAUUCAGUGUCUGCUGGAUAAAGAAGGUGCAUCAGAACUUGUCAUCGAUGUUAUAGUGAACACCAAAAAUGACAGAAUUUUUUCAG
rnacentral:lncRNA from 10 species